AUUGAACGCUGGCGGAAUGCUUUACACAUGCAAGUCGAGCGGCAGCACGGACUUCGGUCUGGUGGCGAGUGGCGAACGGGUGAGUAAUAUAUCGGAACGUAUCCAAUAAUGGGGGAUAACUAAUCGAAAGGUUGGCUAAUACCGCAUACGUCCUACGGGAGAAAGCUAGGGACCUUCGGGCCUGGCGUUAAUGGAGCGGCCGAUAUCUGAUUAGCUAGUUGGUGAGGUAAAGGCUCACCAAGGCGACGAUCAGUAGCUGGUCUGAGAGGACGACCAGCCACACUGGAACUGAGACACGGUCCAGACUCCUACGGGAGGCAGCAGUGGGGAAUUUUGGACAAUGGGCGCAAGCCUGAUCCAGCCAUUCCGCGUGAGUGAAGAAGGCCUUCGGGUUGUAAAGCUCUUUCGCAAGGGAAGAAAACUUAUCCUCUAACAUAGGAUGAGGUUGACGGUACCUUGAUAAGAAGCACCGGCUAACUACGUGCCAGCCGCCGCUGUAAAAC
rnacentral:rRNA from 1 species